rnacentral:rRNA from 1 species
UCCUACGGGAGGCAGCAGUAAGGAAUAUUGGUCAAUGGACGCAAGUCUGAACCAGCCAUGCCGCGUGGAGGAUGAAGGUCCUCUGGAUUGUAAACUUCUUUUAUUUGGGAAGAAAAACGGGAUUUCUAGUUUGGUUGACGGUACCAGAAGAAUAAGCACCGGCUAACUCCGUGCCAGCAGCCGCGGUAAUACGGAGGGUGCAAGCGUUAUCCGGAUUCACUGGGUUUAAAGGGUGCGUAGGUGGGUAGGUAAGUCAGUGGUGAAAUCUCCGAGCUUAACUUGGAAACUGCCAUUGAUACUAUCUGUCUUGAAUAUCGUGGAGGUCAGCGGAAUAUGUCAUGUAGCGGUGAAAUGCUUAGAUAUGACAUAGAACACCAAUUGCGAAGGCAGCUGGCUACACGAAUAUUGACACUGAGGCAAGAAAGCGUGGGGGAUCAAACAGGAUUAGAUACCUUGGUAGUCCACGCCUUAAACGAUGGAUACUCGCACAUCGGGGGGAAUACCCCA